AGGCAUACAUCAGGAAGACGCGCACACGCACACGGGGGCGCCUUGUGCUUGAUAGCCUCAGGAGCUCCCACCCACCCCCCACCACCACCACCGCUCUUGUGCGUCGUUGCGGCCCUGCGCGCGUUGUGUGAGGCAAAACAGCUUCUCCUUUAGGCGGUUGCAUUGAAUUUGUUUUAGUAGCCCCUGCACUCGUCCUCGCACAGCGACCAUGGAUGAGCUCUUCGACGAGAAGGACUGUCACCGUCACCCGCCGCUCGACCUCACGAGUCGCGCCUUUCAGCCAAAGAAGUACAUCCAGCGUGUCUUGGCCAAUGUCUCACAUGCGGUGUUCGAAGGCCAGCUCGUCGACAAAGUCGGGGUAGCGGAGGAGGACACCGGGGAGGCCCUCAAGCAGCUCAUACGCGACAACCUCGGCGUGUUCAUCAACUCUAAGGAUGCCAUGGACGCCGUGUACAACUCCGACGCGGAGCUCUUCACCGGCGAGGCCCUCGAGGCCAUCACACGGUCGUUCAAGAGCGCGUCGACCAGCUGUGAGUCGCUCGUGCGGCCCAUCACAGCGACGUUUCUGGACGUGCAGAAAAGCCGAAAGAGUCAGGACAUGCUCGACAAGUUCUUCAGCGUUCUCGGCGUCCCUGGUGCAAUCUACGACAGUUGCGGCGCCAAGGUGGCGCAGCGGCGACAGACCGCGACGGCGAUGACGGCGGCAGACGGCUCCACCAGCUCCGACGACGACGACAGCGCGUCGCGCGAAGGGGACGCUGACGAGGCUCGUGGUUUGAGUGGUCGAGACGACCAGCCAAAGAAGGAGCCUCACCGAGCCACGAAACGCAAGGCCUCAGGCGACUACGACGACGACGGCCUCGAGGAAGAAAACGAGUACGAGGAGGACGAGAGUGACAGCGACGAGAAGGGAACCUCUGCUGCCGCUGAUGCCGCUGCCAAGCCGCACGGCACCUUGGAAGGCCCUGCUGACAGCACCGCCCCCGCGGACAUGUACGUACUUGAAAGCGGGGAAGAAAUCUAUUUUUGGUACGGCACCCCUCUGGUGCGUCUCAAGGACGUUGACGCACGGCGGCAACAUGUCGACCAUGUUGCUAACUAUGAGGCAGCCGUGCUGCACCUGCGCCGUGCCAUGCUAUACCUCGAGGAGACGUACUCGCUCAUCGACGGUGCGAUGCUGACUGGAGACGACGGGGAGCCGUCAAAGGCAAUGCAAGCGUCAGCUGCGACAGGAGAUAGCCGCUUCCCGCCUGCCGGGCAAGGCACUACUUCGGCUGCGACAGCGGGAGCAGUAGCCGGGUCGUCAAAGAACGUGAGCGCCGCCGGUCGUAGCGUGUUUGCCUACAAGUUCGCCAUGGCCCUCCUCCGCGCCGCCUUGUACCUCUGCAGCCAGCUGGCCGAGGAACUCAUCUACGCGAACCCAGCCGACACCGUGCUCAUUGAGGAUACGCUGUCCAUGAUGAUGGACACCAGCAUCGCCUCGGUGAAGCUGCAUCACUUCUGCGCCGUGCUGCAAGAGGUGCUUGGCGAAGGCGAUCGGCAUGAGCAGGUGCUGACCAAGCUGCGCACGCGGCUGUCCAGUGGCGGGGCAACAGCUGAGGGCUUCAGUCCGAAGAGUGGCCGCACCGUAUCGCCGCCGGGUGUUUCCGACGAUAGUACGGUCAGCUUUUCUCCCAACAGGCCCGUGGCCGAGGCUGGCGCAGGUGGUGCUGCGGCAGCGUCGGCUUCCUCUGUCACUGCUCCGCGAGGCGGCACAACGGCCUACCAGCACCCCGUGCAGUUCUUCAUAUCCAUUGUGCAGCGCCAGCAGAAGCACCUCUUCCACUCCAGCGCUGCCGGCCUCCUGCGAGAGGCGAGUGGGUGGUUGUGGAAGGCACAGACAGACGCAGCGCGCGGUCUGGAGGAGCGACAUCGGCAACAGGAGCAGCGGCGGAAGCUGAGCAUCGCAGCAGCUGGAGGGGCGGACGCUGGGGAAGGCACAGCGGCAGAGCUGCUGAGCGGGAGCGACAUCUGCGGGCGCAGGCUGUCGCAAAACUCGUACCUCGGCGUCAGCAUCAGCGGCGACGGCGGUUUCAUCGGCAACGCGAACGACUCCUUUCUCCAGGAGUGCUCCUUCACACAGGUGAACGCGCUCGUCGUCGGCGGGCGGCGACAGUCGUCGGCGGGCUCACCGACGAGCGGCGACGGCGACGGUGACGGCGACGGUGUGGGUGUCGCAGCCAGCGGCAGCGCCACGGUACGCAGUGAUGGCACCCCGACAGAGGAGAAUCGCCAGGCUGUCGGCAUCAUCCCCGACGCCUACGUGUCAAGGCUGCUGGAUGCCCUCAACACCCCGGAGUCGCCCUUCCCCACCAGCGCCGAGUUCCGGGUCGGCACUUUGGACAUGGAUGCGGUGCUCGUGUCCAGCUGUCUGCAGAUCCGCAUCCACAGCUCCUCCCUGCUCAACCAGCUGUUCACGCGCGCUGAAGUCGAGUCGGCCGUGAUGGCGCAGGCAUGCUCUCUCAAUACCUUUGCCCUGCGACUGUGCACCGAGUGUGUUGGAACGCUCGAGCACGUGGUUGGCUCCUAUUGGGGCGGCAUCGCGACUGCGCUGCACUCGGGCGUCUUCGACUUCGUUCCUGAGCUGGACUCGCCGCUGCACACUAUCUUGACCCAGCUCUUGGGCAACACGGCGGCCCAGGCAGCGGCAGGCACCGGUGGUGUCGCGGCGGCCGGCAGCGGCGGCGGCGGGUUGCAGCGCUCGCCGUCGACUAUCCUCAGUGGCACACACUCACGCUCGCUAAGUCGUGUAGGAGAGAUGGAUGACAACGCCCACGUCUCCGAUGGCGGCGUCGCCGUGACGGGCACAGCAAACCACGGCGCGCCCGCGGCGGACACGCGAGGGAGAGUGGCAGGCGCCGGCGUCGGGCCCGGUUCCAUCGAGCAGCUGCCGCGCAUACGCUUCGUACCAACGUUGCCGCAUGUUUUUCACCCCGCUGCAGCCGACGCGGCUAAUGAAAGUGCAACACAGCAGCCUACUCGCCCGAAGCGCCUGCGCGACAUCUCGGUGCAGGCGGUUCAUGACAUGAUCAGCACCGCUGCAGCCACGCUGCAGGCUCUCUUCUUGGCCUUCAUAAACAGGAGCGUCGUGGACGGCUUCGUGAGCGCCCUGGCGCAGUAUCGGGCGAGUGAUCUGAGACGCUACGGCCGCUCCGAGCGUGUCGAGCUGCACGCGGCCGUCCUCUACGAGGUCAUUCUUAGCCAGUGGGAGCGCAUGAUGAACCACGUGAGUGACGCGAUGCUGCGGCUAAAGAUCGUCAUUGGCGAGUCCAGCAGCUCCGCCACCAUCACGUCGGAGGCGCAGGUAGAGGAAGUCGGUGACCUGCUGCAGGAGCUGGAGCUUUUGCGCUCCACGUGCCUGCGCUGCUACCUGCAUGGCAUCGGCGUGCUCAGUAAGGCGUACCUGACGGCGCUCCCGCUGCUGCAGCGGAACACCGACAAGUCGCUCGACGCGCGCGUCCGCUCCCGGCUCAGUCGCGACUCUGUCUCUUCCCACGCGGUCCACAAGCUGCUCAACGUCUUGUCGGUCGUCAUGGAUCGCUGCGUCCCCUUCUUCGCGCGCGAUACGGAGGUCUACGAUAGCGUGGACCUGUUCGCCGUCAAGUCGGGGAGCCUGCGCGACGACGCCGACGAGGACGCGGUGGCGGGCGAAAGAGGAGGCAGUGACGCUGGCACACGCAGUGCUGCGUCGCGUCGUCGUCGGCUUCUGCGCCAGCGCCCAGAGAAUGAUCCCUCCGGUAGGGGAAGGUGCGGCGACAGGUCGGGCACGGAGCGUCACGGACGGGGGUCAGAGUCCUGCGCCCCGGCCGCUCUCGGAGAUGGCACCGAUGCCGUCGUGGACCCCAUUUCCGAGCUCAUCGCGCAGUUCCACAGAAAGCUAGUGAUGGAGAGCCUACAGGACCACGAGGAACUGGUACUCGCUCUCCUCUCGCACCUCCUACUCGCCUUCGUUGACAUGUUGCAGCUGAAGUGCCGUACAGCCACGACAGACGUCACCCUGCACCCCGCCGAGCGCGAGCGGUGCGUCGUCGAGUGCAUGGCCGACACGCUGUGCCUCGCCACAACGUUGACGCCUAUUCUCACGGAGCACCUGCUGGCGCCCUGCUUCUUCGAGUUGAUUGCGCGCCAGCUGCCGGAGCUGUGCGCGACACCAGUCGACGUCGCUGCGAUGCUGCAGAGUAAGCAGCAACAGUAUAGCCAAGUCUACCUGUCGGUGGUGGAAGAGCACUGCCAGCUUGCUGUGGACGCCAUGAUGAACGCGUACCUGGCGCUGGCCCAGCAGCCGAUCACGGACCUCGUCAGGCGACAGGGAUUUGUGCAGCCGCUCUUCGACUGGCAACGCGUCUCUCCGCACACCACAGCGGCAGUGCGCCCGUACAUCGCCGACGCGAUUGCGUGCAUCGCUCGCGCGCACGAGACGCUAAAUGCGAUUCGGCAGCCGGUUCUCGGCAGCGCCGCCACGCAGCGCCUUGUGGCGCACCUCGUGCGUACCUUCCUGACCUCCUUCACCAGCGACGUGAACGUCUUCGAGCUCUCUGUCGAAUGCAGCUCCAGCUUCUUGGUGUACGGCCUGACACUGCUCGAGGCCGAGGCCGCCACGAUCCUGAGCGUCGUGGACGCGGUUGUGGCGCACGUGAAGGCAAACCCCACCACAAAUGAGCUGCUACCGGAGCUGGCGGUGACGCGGGAAAACCUUGUCGCCGUCACGAAAACCUUGGAGAGCUACGCCACCUCCGUCGGCGAGGCGAUCGUUGCCGCACGCAACAGCGAGGGAGGUGGUGCGAGCGAAGCGGUCAUCGCCCUCUCACUUCUGUCACGUGGCAAGCGACACGAGCGGCGCGACGGAAUGGUGCAGGCAGCGAUGCGCACACUGGAAUACAUGCUAGAGGCCAUCAACACGGAGCUCGAGGAGUCGUCGCUGUCAAGCGCGGCGCUGCUGCAGCUGCGCAGUGCGGCAGAAAAGGGAGACGGUGCCGCGGGCAAUGGCUUACGCAGCGCUGUGGCAGAGCGCAUCGUGCAGCGCAUCGAGCGACGCAAGGAGGGUUACGAGCUCCGCCGCGCUCGCGCUGCAGCGGCAGCAGAAGUGGAGCGCCAGCGGAAGAAGGCGUCGGUGUCUGCGGCUUCGCCCGAGGACGACAGUGGCCCUGCAGGCGGCUCAGACAGCGGCGCCGGUAGGGGCGGCCGACGCCAGCCGCUGCGUCGCCGUGCGGACGGGCCACAACCGGCGCCCACCUCAGCCGCUCUCGGCGACGAUAAGGACGGCGACGCGGAGAGCGCAGAGCACCUCACCCCACGCACCGUGCAGGAGAACGAGAGAGAGUCGUUGAAAGCGGCAGAGGCGGCCAGCAAUGUGUUCCGACUUGCGCAGGACCAGCGGCAGAAGCGCCGGGUGCGGCGCGUGAGUAAAGUCGACGCGGCCGACGGUAGAGGUGCAGACGGCGGCGCGGAAGCCGGCGAGGUGAGCGCGGGAACAGCCGAAUCGGGGCCCACACCCGCAACGGUGCCGCCGCCGCUUUCGGUGCCGCUUGCGGGCUAUGCGGCGGGCGGCAAAGAUGACGAAGGCAGUGAAGGGGCUGAAGCGGUGCCGGCGCGUCAUCGGGUGUCCCGGCGCGCACGUCGGCGCCUCGUCAGCGGCGACAAUGACGGCGGGGUGCCGGAGCGGCACGAGAGGCGCGCCAACCGCUUCCGGCGCGCCAAUGUGCUGUGAGGACGAGUGCACAGCGCCUCUCGGGCAUUCUCAACGGUGGAGAGCAUGCGGCCAAGAGCGGAGGCGGAGAGUGGGUCUGCCGAGGGUGGGCUUCUACCCGUCCGGCCCCUUCUGUUGUGUACCCCUUGUUUGCGUGCGUGCGUGCGUAUCAGUGGAUGUGCGAGUGAGGAGCGGCUCGUGGGUUUUCGUCUGAGCUGCCGUGGCGUCGUAUCGCCGCGCGCUCUGUGCUGUUCAUCUGCGGCGCCUCUCCGCUUGAGUCGACAAGCACACGCACACACGCAUCAUAAGACGCUUCGCAGUGAGCGAGGUGCGAAGAGGUGGCGAUGCUAGAUGGAUAGAAGACGCGGUCGCAUGUAUUGAAUGGCUGUGGUCGGUGCUUGUCUGUCUGUAGAGUCAGGAGGGCGCACCGGUGUAGUCACUGUCUAUGCGCGGGUGUGCGUGUGCAGUUGAAAGUCGCGCCUUCAAGGAACUAAGAGUCCCGCAUGUCCUCUUUCAUGGCCCAUGCCGUAGGCACAUACGCGCGCGCACACACACUGGGAGGGAGAGAGGUAUACAGUUUUUCAGGCCGGAAGAUCUGGCAAGAGGGCGAGAUGAGGAGUGUACGAGAGAGGAGGCGGGCGGCGGAAAGAGACUCACUGCCGCCUUUGCCGUGUCUCGCUCUCUUGUGCCGCCCGCCCAUCCCUCAACUCGCCACUGCCCCGACUCCCCUCGUCGCGCACCGCUCUCUGCGUGUACUUGCCUGUGCGUGCGUGCGUCUGUCUGUCUGUCUACCCCCGCCACCACUCGCGCGCACUCCACCCUCCUGCGUCCCCUUUCCAACACAUGCGCACGCUCGGCCGCCUCUUUUCUUUCCGCACGUUGUCUGCUUUCUAUGUGUGUCGUCACUGCAG
rnacentral:misc_RNA from 1 species